UUGUUCCUGGAACACGAAGAGAUGGAAGUUAGGCAAGCUGAUCAUGGUAGAAGUCGUGGAAUAUUUUUUAUAUGUGAUAUAUGAUACGAAUGUAAUUUUAGGUAACUUGUGGAAUUGAGUAAGCAGAAAGUCGAAAGUAGGUAAUAGUUCUGUAAGAUUCUGUCCGAGAUUGGAAGAUUACUUAAUUCUCCGAAGCAGCGGUUCUCAAUCACAGUGUUCGCGUAUCUUCGAUGUUUCACGGACAAUUUAUAGUUGGAUUAAAAUAAACCGAAAGCCGGGAAAAAGAUUAGUUUGACGUUUGAUGGGUGUAUAAAGCCGAUGAUACUCUCCUCGCAAGGCUUAGAUUUACUGCGAUCCACUUUUAUGCUCCAUCUUGCUCAGUCAGACGCUUUCCUCUCGGUUAUUCACCUCGAGAUCUGUCCAGAACGACCCUGUUUCUCGUCUUUGCGUACAGAUUAAUUUUGCUUCCUUUACGAAACAGCGAAUAAACCGACAACUUGACGCUAAGGGUGGACGAGACGAUUCGAGAAACCCGAUGAAGAAGCGAGAUGUUGUACUUUGAAGGAUGUACAAGUUCCUUUUUCCUCGAGAAACUUGUCUUCUUCCACGGAAGAACAGGAAUUCCAAUUAAAAAUGAAAAAAAAAGAAGAAAAGAAAAGAAAAGAAAGGACUCCUAACGAGGAUAAGAGCACCCUUUUCUAGAUAAUUAUUUAUCUAACAUACCGGAAAAAGAGAAAAAUACUGGUUUUGAUUAAAAAAAAAAAAACUUGUAAUUUAUCAUAGAAAAAAGGGUCAAAGUUAUCGGGAAAUUGCACAAUUAUUACUACUAAUUACAGUAGAUAUUAUUAGAAGACAUAAGGAAGGCUAUCGAGUUUAAGAAGCAAAGAUGACAUCAUUUUUUGAUAAAAAUCCCUGGCACGAUUAAACGUUAGUUUUAGGAAGCAGUUGUUUACGUGUUUUCGAGCUACGAUAAAUGAUUAACACGCUACUAGAGCAAACAACACGUAAGAGACGUAAAUCGUCUUCUCUUACACGAAGCAACAAAUGUAAAAACAACUGUCUAGUUCUCCCACAGAAAACUCUUAAGGCGUCUUCUAUUAAAUAAAAUAAAUAAAUAAAACUGCGAUAUUU